rnacentral:rRNA from 1 species
GACGAACGCUGGCGGCGUGCUUAACACAUGCAAGUCGAGCGAGGCCCACCUUUCGGGGUGGUGUCCUAGCGGCGAACGGGUGAGUAACACGUGGGCAACCUGCCCUCAGCUCUGGGAUAACUCCAAGAAAUUGGGGCUAAUACCGGAUAUGACUGCUGACCGCAUGGUCUGGUGGUGGAAAGAUUUAUCGGCUGGGGAUGGGCCCGCGGCCUAUCAGCUUGUUGGUGGGGUAGGGCCUACCAAGGCGACGACGGGUAGCCGGCCUGAGAGGGUGACCGGCCACACUGGGACUGAGACACGGCCCAGACUCCUACGGGAGGCAGCAGGUGGGGAAUAUUGCGC